AUUGAUGAAUAGAGUGAAUACAGACAGAAUACAAAUAAAACCUCCCAACCUACGAGCAACGAAAACAAAAAUGGAGUCUGGUAGCAUUGAUAAUCGGACUCUAGUGUCUACUGCGGCAGCAAAUACCAACCUGAAGAAGGCUCAGUUUGUGGCCUACACAUUGCUGUUCCCAAAGAAUUCUGUUAAGGACCUGAGCAAGAUCUUGAAUGUCAAGUUCAAGGCGAUCCAAGGCAUCCAAUUUACUAUACUGAUCCCCAAGGAACCCAAACGAAUUAUCCUGACGACACCAAAAUUUAUCGAUAAAAAGGAAGAACAAUCAGAAUACAUCGAUAAUGGCAAGAAUAAAGGAUUUUUGAUGUCACGCAACGACAAGGAUAUUAAGACGAUCAAGGAAAUGCCCUUGCAAGCUCAACACGAAAAUAAACUCAAAACUUCUUUGGUACAAUUCGAUUAGAAUCGUUCAAAGAAGAACUAAGAGGACGUUGAAUUUAUAUAUUAUACAAAUUAUUUUUUACAUCUAACACCUCCUAUCUGGCAUUUCUGAUAUGUAUCUUGGAGCUUAGAGGUUCUCUAGUUUCAUCGUGGCAAACACAUAGUCAGAAUCGUGAUACCUACAAGGGGGCCAGGGUAUAGAAAGCAUGUUAAAGUAGAGGAAAAUAAGUUGCCACAGACGCACACACACACACCCCCACUCUGGCAUAUAAAUCACAUAAAUCUUUUUAUUUGUCACUUU
rnacentral:sRNA from 1 species